AUGAACGCUAGCUACAGGCUUAACACAUGCAAGUCGAGGGGCAGCAUUUUAGUUUGCUUGCAAACUGAAGAUGGCGACCGGCGCACGGGUGAGUAACACGUAUCCAACCUGCCGAUAACUCGGGGAUAGCCUUUCGAAAGAAAGAUUAAUAUCCGAUAGUAUAUUAAAACCGCAUGGUUUUACUAUUAAAGAAUUUCGGUUAUCGAUGGGGAUGCGUUCCAUUAGUUUGUUGGCGGGGUAACGGCCCACCAAGACUACGAUGGAUAGGGGUUCUGAGAGGAAGGUCCCCCACAUUGGAACUGAGACACGGUCCAAACUCCUACGGGAGGCAGCAGUGAGGAAUAUUGGUCAAUGGACGAGAGUCUGAACCAGCCAAGUAGCGUGAAGGAUGACUGCCCUAUGGGUUGUAAACUUCUUUUAUAUGGGAAUAAAGUAUUCCACGUGUGGGAUUUUGUAUGUACCAUAUGAAUAAGGAUCGGCUAACUCCGUGCCAGCAGCCGCGGUAAUACGGAGGAUCCGAGCGUUAUCCGGAUUUAUUGGGUUUAAAGGGAGCGUAGGUGGAUUGUUAAGUCAGUUGUGAAAGUUUGCGGCUCAACCGUAAAAUUGCAGUUGAAACUGGCAGUCUUGAGUACAGUAGAGGUGGGCGGAAUUCGUGGUGUAGCGGUGAAAUGCUUAGAUAUCACGAAGAACUCCGAUUGCGAAGGCAGCUCACUAGACUGCAACUGACACUGAUGCUCGAAAGUGUGGGUAUCAAACAGGAUUAGAUACCCUGGUAGUCCACACAGUAAACGAUGAAUACUCGCUGUUUGCGAUAUACAGUAAGCGGCCAAGCGAAAGCAUUAAGUAUUCCACCUGGGGAGUACGCCGGCAACGGUGAAACUCAAAGGAAUUGACGGGGGCCCGCACAAGCGGAGGAACAUGUGGUUUAAUUCGAUGAUACGCGAGGAACCUUACCCGGGCUUAAAUUGCAUUUGAAUAAUCUGGAAACAGGUUAGCCGCAAGGCAAAUGUGAAGGUGCUGCAUGGUUGUCGUCAGCUCGUGCCGUGAGGUGUCGGCUUAAGUGCCAUAACGAGCGCAACCCUUAUCUUUAGUUACUAACAGGUCAUGCUGAGGACUCUAGAGAGACUGCCGUCGUAAGAUGUGAGGAAGGUGGGGAUGACGUCAAAUCAGCACGGCCCUUACGUCCGGGGCUACACACGUGUUACAAUGGGGGGUACAGAAGGCAGCUACCUGGCGACAGGAUGCUAAUCCCAAAAACCUCUCUCAGUUCGGAUCGAAGUCUGCAACCCGACUUCGUGAAGCUGGAUUCGCUAGUAAUCGCGCAUCAGCCAUGGCGCGGUGAAUACGUUCCCGGGCCUUGUACACACCGCCCGUCAAGCCAUGAAAGCCGGGGGUACCUGAAGUACGUAACCGCAAGGAGCGUCCUAGGGUAAAACUGGUAAUUGGGGCU
rnacentral:rRNA from 1 species